rnacentral:rRNA from 1 species
UACGGAGGGUGCAAACGUUGCUCGGAAUUAUUGGGCGUAAAGCGCACGUAGGCGGUCCGUUAAGUCGGGUGUGAAAGCCCUGGGCUCAACCCAGGAAGUGCACCUCGAAACUGGCGGGCUUGAGUAUGGAAGAGGGUCGCGGAAUUCCCGGUGUAGAGGUGAAAUUCGUAGAUAUCGGGAGGAACACCAGUGGCGAAGGCGGCGACCUGGGCCAAUACUGACGCUGAGGUGCGAAAGCGUGGGGAGCAAACAGG